rnacentral:rRNA from 1 species
AAUAUUGCACAAUGGGCGAAAGCCUGAUGCAGCAACGCCGCGUGAUUGAUGAAGGCCUUCGGGUCGUAAAGAUCUUUUAUCAGGGAUGUUAAUGACAGUACCUGAAAAACAAGCUUCUGUUAACUACGUGCCAGCAGCCGCGCUAAUACGCAGGUGGCGAGCGUUGUCCGGAAUUACUGGGCGUAAAGGAUGCGUAGGUGAAUACUUAAGUGGGAUGUGAAAUCCCCGGGCUCAACCCGGGAACUGCAUUCCAAACUGGGUAUCUAGAGUGCAGGAGAGGAAAGCGGAAUUCCUAGUGUAGCGGUGAAAUGCGUAGAUAUUAGGAGGAACACCAGUGGCGAAGGCGGCUUUCUGGACUGUAACUGACACUGAGGCAUGAAAGCGUGGGUAGCAAACAGG